rnacentral:lncRNA from 1 species
AGAAAUAGGCUGAGGAGGAAGAGCGCUGUGCUCUUCAUUCCUUUGGCUGAUAAGAAAGUGUAUCUCAUAGUCUGUCUCUGCCUUUUCUUUUCCUAGCAGUAGCUUCAACCGGCCAGGACCUCGUGCAAGCCAGUUGCUGAACUCCUUUUGUGUGCCUGUUGGUCAUUCUGACAGUCAAGUUACUUCCACGCACUGACAUCUUCUGAAAAACCAUUCCUAUACAGAAGAUGUAAUCCCAUCAGUGAAAGAACCAUAAAAAUCCCUUGAAAAUCCCUGUGAUUUAAAGGUCUCUGUCAAAAAUAGGAAGUACAAGCCAUAAUAAUAAAAAUAGAGUAAAUUUAAAUAUGAGUCAUUGAAAAAGUUCCUGUAAAUUACAGUUGACGUGGCCUCAGUUUGCACUGAAUAAGUCUAUGAGAAAGUUGUCCUUACAUUCCCUGCAGAUUCAUCAGCAGCUGUGACAGAGCUUCUGCACCAUGUUCCAGCCCCGGGGGGCUUGAGGUCGACAUUGGGAUUGGGUCUUGAGUGGAGUCCUUUCAUUGUAAACUCCCUUCUCUUAGUGGAUGUAUUCUGGAGCCACCACAUGCUUUACCUGUGUAUAGGUCAGAGAUCAUUUCAUCAAGAUAUGUGUGAUACAGAGAAGGAAGAAUAAAUUAAAAGACAAUGUAAUUCAUUAAAAGGUAAUGAAAAAAAUAAUAACAUAGAUCAAGACAAUAGUGUCAGAGUUAGCCUGUAAGUGGCCAUUUCUCUAUUAUCGUGUCAGUCUGUGACAUUUUCUGUAAUUAUCCAAAGUACUGCUACAUAACUCAGUGUCCUGUAUGUCCUUUCUGUACAGUGGCAGAGAUAUUUGUCUCUAAUGGUAGAGAUACCUAACUGUUGUUUGUCAAGAGUUGUUUGUCACCAUGACUCUGCUGUGUCUAAUACAUUUGUGUAAUGUUGCUCUAUAGUAGUUGCUGGAAAAAAUUGUGAUGCAAUAGCUCAUCACAGUAGUCCAUCAAUAUAAAAUUUUCUAUCUUGUUAAGCUAAGGAAAUUAAUUAAACUUUCAGUUAAAAUAUUUACAAGAGCUUUUUCAAAUAGAUGCAAUUACCUAAAUACUGAAAUAUUACUGUUUCGACAGCAGUACGAAAGAACUGGAAAAGGAUCCAAAGCACUUGAUUCAUCUGACUUGAAAAGUGAAAAGUAGCCAGCACACAGUGUACUGCACAGCAGUAUCAAGGGACGUAUGUAGCUGGGUAUAUUUCGGCCUUGGACUGGCAAAAUCUCUAUUCUUGCAAAACAAGUCGUGGCAUUUUUAUUAUCUACAUGAAACUUGCAAGACAGCAAAUGUGCUAAACAAUAUGAAAAAAAUAGUGUGUUGACACUCAUCCUGGUGACACCAACACGGCUGCAGACUGUGCUCACAUUUACAGAAAGCAACCACUUCUCACUGCAUAGGAAUUAGAAGAGAAAGAGGAAAAACAAACAAACAAACAAAAAACAAAACAAAACAAAACAAUAAAACAACAACAACAAAAAGAAAACCCCCCAAAAAUGUUGUCUGCUUCGGUUUUCUUCUUACACUACUCCCCCCCUCCUUUUUUUUCCCAUGGUGCAAGUCCUGCUAUAGGUAGAAACAGAUUCAGCAAUCAUUUAUUACUUGAGUAAUUCCUCCAUUACAAGAAUUGAUCAAUAAGGAAUUGUAUGAAUUCAGAAGGAAUUGUAUGCAUUUACAUUUUGGAACGAAUGUGAGCUAGAUGAAUUUUUUGGCAGUUGCAGAAUUUUAAUAGGCUUUUUUACUAGGUUGAAAAAACUUGUCUGGUUGCUGGAGAGCUCCCUCUAGUGGUGAAUUUUCCUGGGAGAUCUUGGCAAGCAUUCCUGUCCAGAAGCACGUAGUUGAAACUUUACCUACCCUAUCUGUUACCGAUAAUACUGUGCAGAAAAAGGAAGAAGCCACGAUAGCAGUUGCUAGAAAUAUUUUCGCUUAGCUGUUCACCCUUCUCACAUAGAAACUUAUUAGGUGUGCAUGGAUGCAAAUAUAAAUUGGUAUUUUUUUGGGAUAUCUGUAAAUGAGCCUGCAUAAGAAAAAUUUUUAGCACUCACCUGUGUAGUAGAAAAAAAAUGUUCAUUUGCUCUGACCAAAUGCAUGAUAUGAAGGAUCUGAGCAAUAGAAGGGUGUGUUUCUACUAAAUCACUUUACAGUUCAGAACUCAGGUUGUCUCCCACACUGCAGAAGGAGUACAAAUGGCUUGAAAAAAGAAGUUCAGAACAUCCUUCCCCCAAGUCCCUACCUUUUGUUUCUCACCUGUGAAAAAACGCAGUUCUGCAGCAUCAAGGACUGAAGCAGCAACCAUAAAUCCUGCAAACCGCUUUUGCAACGUGGUGGAGUCACUGGAACCAGCUCUUUAUGUCUCCUAGGAGAGAGGCUGAGACACACUUUUUGGUACCUCUGCACCAAGAGAGUGUGGAGGUUGCUUCUAAACAUACAGCCGGUGCACUGAUUUCCUGUGGUUGAAGUUAAAAAGCUGAAGAUGGCUUGUCCAGAUCUUCUAAGCUAAAGUAAAUCAUACUGUUUCAGAAUGAAAAUUAAAAUGAGGUAAUUGCCAUAAAUGCAGUUAUAAAGUAACAGUACCAUGAAUUAGGUAAAAUAGUCGGAAAAGUACGGUGGGUUACAGGGGAAAAUAGUAAGGUUGGUUUUGUGUAUACGUGUCUUAUGCAUUCUGAAAUAGACUGUUUAAAUAUAGUUGGACUCAUAGAGUUGCAAUGAUCAACAGAUAGCUUGCUUUAUCAAUAAAAUAAAAUAUUUAGUCACAUAUCAUCAGGAACAGGUAACAGAAUACUUGAAUCCAAGCAACUCAGAUUCAGGCAAUUUUUGAAAACUAGGGUUGGAUUCAGAUCCUAUGGUGCUGACCAUUAUCAGGAUUUGGACUUCUUACUUUGCUGAUCUUUUUUAGAAGAGGUUGAGGUACUGCUGUAUUAUGUACUUAUGUGACCUUUUAAUGAAAGUUUGUGCAAACAUU